CGAGGAUUAGCUUAGAGGCCCAAAGCACCUGGCUCUGACCCAGGCAUCGGCGGUUCAAAUCCGUCAUCCCCUG
rnacentral:tRNA from 1 species